UCUCCACAAACCCCCUCUCUGCAGAUAAGUGUCUUCUAUGUGGAUUCAAACAAGAAGGAAAAUGACCAAGAAAUUAAGUCUGCAGAAAGGAAGCAGAAAUUGGAAGACAUAAUAAUUGUGCUUGACAAGGAGCUACAAAAGUUGAUCAUUUCUUUGCACUUGGAACACCGUAAGAGUGAUACAGAUCCAAACACAUCCAGGAGCAAGAGGCUCACAGCAUCCUCCAGUCUGAGGUCAAUGAGUUAAAAAGAUCAUCACUCAGCUGGUGGAGAAGAACAGUGAGCGGAAGAAGACUGAUACACAAGUGCAUGAAAACAAAGAACUAUGGCUUCUCGGACCAAAGUGGUGAUGUUUCUUAUUCUCGCCACAGCAGGAGCAGCUUUGCCGGCUGCUCAUCACACUGUGAAAGGUAAUUAAAAUACCUGCACAGAUCAGUAUGGUAUUAAGAAUACCUCAUUUGUACCAGCUUUACUUUCUUUUUAUUUAAUUAAUUUAUUUAAACUGAUGUUUCCUAUUACAGAAGUUAUACUGUAAAUAUACAAAACCAUUGGGGUAACAUAGUGGUUAUUUUUUGUAUCAGCACAGAGUCUUAAUGCUGCAAAUGAAUGUAUUAAGGCUAUAACUGAAUGAAUAAGGGCUGCACGGUAAUUUAUAGCAGCCAAAAAUGAAUAUACUGAGACCAAAAGCUAAAAGAUUAAAGCAAUAAUCAUGUCAUUAAGAAAUAUCUUCCAUAUAGAGAACAAGGGGUUUUGUAAGUGAUGGUUUGGCCCCCACAUACAGGUCCUUCUCAAAAAAUUUGCAUAUCAUGAAAAGGUUCUCUAAACGAGCUAUUAACCUAAUCAUCUGAAUCAACUAAUUAACUCUAAACACCUGCAAAAGAUUCCUGAGGCUUUUAAAAACUCCCAGCCUGGUUCAU